ACUCAAAGGAAUUGACGGGGGCCCGCACAAGCAGCGGAGCGUGUGGUUUAAUUCGAGGCUACGCGAAGAACCUUACCCGGGUUUGACAUAGCGCCGAACGACGGUGAAAGCCGAAGGGUCCUUCGGGACGGCGUUACAGGUGCUGCAUGGCUGUCGUCAGCUCGUGUCGUGAGAUGUUCGGUUAAGUCCGAAAACGAGCGCAACCCUCGGCGUUAGUUACAAGUGUCUAACGCGACUGCCUGCGGCAAGCAGGAGGAAGGUGAGGAUGAUGUCAAGUCAGCAUGGCCUUUAUAUCCGGGGCUACACACACGCUACAAUGGGCAGUACAGUGGGUUGCGAAGUUGCGAAACGGAGCCAAUCCUAAAAAGCUGUUCGUAGUUCGGAUUGCAGGCUGCAACUCGCCUGCAUGAAGCUGGAGUUGCUAGUAACCGCAGGUCAGCACACUGCGGUGAAUACGUUCCCGGGCCUUGUACACACCGCCCGU
rnacentral:rRNA from 1 species